UACAGAGGUCCCAAGCGUUGUUCGGAUUCACUGGGUUUAAAGGGUGUGUAGGCGGGUAUUUAAGUCAGUGGUGAAAUCUCCAGGCUCAACCUGGAAACUGCCAUUGAUACUAUAUAUCUUGAAUUUUGUUGAGGUAGGCGGAAUAUGUCAUGUAGCGGUGAAAUGCAUAGAUAUGACAUAGAACACCAAUUGCGAAGGCAGCUUACUAAGCAAAUAUUGACGCUGAGGCACGAAAGCGUGGGGAUCAAACAGG
rnacentral:rRNA from 1 species